rnacentral:misc_RNA from 1 species
AAACAUCAAGAAACUGCAAGCUAGAUAGGUUUCCCAAAGCUGGAGGAACUGCUCCACUGAACCCAGCUUUUGAUAGAUUCAAAUAUUGCAAACUUUGCAGGGAUCCUAAGAAUUCAGGAAUUGGGAUUUGAUUAAAUGUGUUGAGACUCAAGUCCAGGUACUGUAAAGACUUAAUUUUUAGCACUGAUGGUCUGAUCUCACCACUCAAGUUCCAAAACUCGGGCCUGCUUGUACUCAAAGAAUAUGCAGAACUUACUGGAUAUGGGUUGUGGAGAUCAAUGGAAAUGACAGCACCAGUUCUAUUAUUGCAGCUGAUACCCUCCCACUGACAACAGUUGCUCCCUUGCCAUGAUGAGAGCCGGUUCCCAGAAUCUCGAAGGCCAUUUUUGAAGUCAAUAAGAGCUUGUAGAUCAGAUUGGGAACAGGUCUUGGAAAGGCCAUCUCCAUUACAACCAAAAUCACUAGUUAGGAUGCUAAGAAUUGCAAGAACGAAACCAA